CGUUAGUUGCUACCAUUAGGUUGAGCACUCUAGCGAGACUGCCCGGGUUAACCGGGAGGAAGGUGGGGAUGACGUCAAAUCAUCAUGCCCCUUAUGUCUAGGGCUACACACGUGCUACAAUGGUGAGGACAGAGAGACGCAAGACCGCGAGGUGGAGCAAAUCUCACAAACCUCAUCCCAGUUCGGAUUGCAGGCUGAAACUCGCCUGCAUGAAGCCGGAGUUGCUAGUAAUCGCGAAUCAGCAUGUCGCGGUGAAUACGUUCCCGGGCCUU
rnacentral:rRNA from 1 species